GCCCGCUUGGCCAAGUGGUAAGGCGUCGCACUUGUACGCAAUGCAAUGCGAAGAUCUCUAGUUCGAAUCUGGAAGUGGGCA